rnacentral:tRNA from 1 species
GUCUCAGUAGCUCAGUGGUAAGAGUGCUGAGAUGGUAUGCCAGAGGCCCUGGGUUGGAGUCCUGAUUGAGACU